ensembl:lncRNA
GUCAGAGCUCGCGCAAGAAGGUGGGACGUAAGGGAGACACCAUUUACAACACUUGUAAGGGCGUAAUAACUAGUUUGUGAAAGAACCAGAGAAACACAAAUAUCCGACGAAAAAAAAUCCCGGACGUUUUUAGAAUCCCUGCCGGACGCAUUUUUUAGGUCUCAAAAAGAGGAGGUCCUGUCACCCUAUAUAUCGUCUUGUAAGUACAAUGAUAAUGCAUUAUAGACCUCUAAUGUGUUAAAUCGUCAUGACCUGUGAAUCUGUAACGUUUCAUUCAUGUCUCACAAAGUGAUCACUUCUGUUUCUUCCGAAACUUCUUCUUCAUCUUUGAGUUUUUCGUAAAGUGAACGACAGACCUUGUUUAAAUUUAAACAUUCUUCAAUAAACGGCUUCUACCGCUUUUGGUUCAACCUUAAUCGGCACUAGCUCGUUAGCAGCUAAAUGACCAUCGAUCACACUCAUAUUUGAGUUAUUGGACAUGAAGCUAGCCGGUUAGCUUAAAUUAAGGUGAAACGGAAAGUCUGGAUCUGUUUUUCAAAUUUGUGUUUUAUGUGUGAACAACAAGGUAUUUUACCAACACAAACAAUUUUCACUUUUAUAUUCAGUAUACAUGGUCCAUGAAUACAAAUACAGGGUGCACACACACAUUUACUCUCAAUGCUUAUUUGCAUAUUGUAGAACGCUUCACUGUGACCUCAGGGUAGAACGUUUCACCGGGUUCCGUGUUCUAGCUUCCUUGUUCCAGGUUCCAUUCCCCACAGCAUAAGAACACACUGUGUGUCAAAUUCAGUCAGUUAAUUUCAAGCCAGAGGACUUCACACACUGAAGUGGAGCAGCAGAAAACGCCCAAAUUGAUCACCAAAACCUGCAAGGACUUUAUCCCGAUGUGUUUGAGAGUCGACGCCGACGACCGUCCCACGCUGGAGCAGCUCGAGAUCCACCCAUAGCUCAGAUAAGUCAACGGCGCACACACACGUUCUCACGCAAACGCUCUCACACAGACGGUCUCACGCAGACACACACACGUAGUUGGCAUCACGUAGUCGCGCACACAUAGACGCCAUCGCGUAGACACGCAUGCAUAGACGCCAUCGCGUAGACACGCAUGCGUAGACGCCAUCGUGUAGACCCCCUCACGUAGACACGCACACGUAUACUAUGGCGGCAAAUCACUGUCAAAAUUCGAGAGCGCAAAUCAGCUUGAUGCGCUCGCGUAAAUCAUACAUCCGCGAGCAAAACUUCCGUCUCGCGAAAGAUAUUUGCUCGCUCGCGGAACGUGAACUUCCUUGCGAGGCUAGUCUCUGCUUGCGCUCGAAGGUGUUUUCUACGCGCUCGCUGUUGUUCUUUUUGACAGUAAGGGGGCGGUACGGUGGCCCUGAAGUACAAAACACAACGGCAAAUAGGAAAACACAAUGAAAUGAACUCCUUACGGAAAGGGUAGGGGCUUAAGGCUGGCGCAUGCUUCUGCAUCUGCGUCGUUGUGUCGACGCACUCGUUUCAAUUCAUGGUUCUAAAAAGUCUUGCGUGUGUUGCAGAGCAAUUCACCGCCAGAACAACAUGCGGAGUAACGUGUUUUGUUGAAGACGACCUAGAGAGUCACGUCUUUGUGUGUGGAAUUAUUUAUCAUAGACUUUAUUGCCCCGUGCAUCGCCACUGCUGCUUUUCGUCACGGAAACAUUUGUCCCGUAUUUUCCUCCACAACUUUGUGCACCUCUCGACCGGCAAACCGGCGUUUGCAGCGAUCUCCCUCCGUGAAUCCAACCCGCUUCUACAACCCGCCAAUGACGGCUUGUAUAAGCGCUCAUAUUCACGCAUUUCUUCCGACAAAAGUUCUUCAAUCUGAUCCGUUCUCUCGUAAACACUCUUCGUUUUAAUAAUGGCGGUAUCGGGCUAUGAAAGCGGAAAUGUGAGUCUCCGUAACAGACGUAGUUAGCGGACCAAUCGCAGCCUUGUGCGCUGCGGGAGGCUUGCCCCCCCCGCCCCUUUUAUUUACUUUUAUUUACAACACCUAAAUAUAAUUGAACAACAAAACACCUUUAAAACAACGGUGAAACACUAGUAGGACUAGUAGAUGGCGAUGUUUUACACUCGUAAAACAUCAACAUCUCUCCAUGACUUUCUGCUGCGGCUCUCCUGCUGCACUCACUUCCCCCCCUCAUCACAGGCUCUCAGUCCCGCCACUGAUUUACUGAUUGACAUAAUAUCUAGAAAGCGGCAUUUCUCAGAUUUCAAAAUCCGAUUGUGCAAAUAGUUAAAGGAGUCACGGUAAUUUGAAUCCUCCAUGUCACUUUCCGUCGCCGGCGAAAGGCUUCAGAUUAAGAGUGUUAAAAGACAGACACAGUCCGUCUGUCCAAUCAGAAGGGCCCGUCCUCUGCAUCCUGCUAUAAGGCUGGACAUUCUAGUCAAAGGUGCGCUCACAUUUCGUCACGCGGUGAGACGCCGUAAGAGAGGAAAACGGGCCGGCUCGUUGGUGAGACUCCGCAAGCGUGGUUCUCGCACACCGCUGCCAGGCAUCUUUCUCUCCAACAUGCACUCACUGUGCAACAAACUGGACAAAAUUCAGCUGCUGGUGAGGAGAGACGAAGACUUCUCUACAUCCUCCGUUCUGUCCUUCACGGAGACAUGGCUCUGCGGACCGAUACCGG